GGCCGGUUAGCUCAGUUGGUUAGAGUGUGGUGAUAAUAACGCCAAGGUCGUGGGUUCGAUCCCCGUUCGGGCCA